UUUUGACCUUCUUUGGGUGUAUUUUAGGUUGAGUCCCGCUGAUUCGAAUAUGAUGGUUGUGAGGGAACAGACACCGUCGGAUGCGCUUACAAUAGUCCCGAUUCAGGUUUUUGUGCCGGCAUCCCAAACAACCACUGAGACAGAUUUUGAACCAACCCCUAUGCUACAGAUUGAAGGGACUACAGAAACCACUCCUGAACCCCCCAAACAACUUCAAGAGACCACACCCACGCUUCCCCCAGCUCC